rnacentral:lncRNA from 1 species
GCCCUGUAGGGUUUUCUGUUAGACACUGAUCAUAUAUUCCCUUACAAAAACAUUCACUCCCCCUUUUCAGAAAGUACCAAAUAAUGCUUAUUGAAGAGCAAUUAUCAAUAUUAAUUCAAUUAUCUAAUUACAUGAAGCUUAAAAAGAUGAUAAAUAUUAUAACUUUAACUUUUCAACAUGGUUUAAACUGAUGUCUGCUAG